rnacentral:lncRNA from 1 species
AUGGUCCCAGGUCUGACUUCCCUGAACUGGCUCCUUGCAAGAGACUCUUCAGAGAUUUCAAGCAUUCCCCCAAGAUACAGAAGCCAAGUUAUGGAGUCCACAAAAAAUAGUAAGAAAUCCAGAAAUAGACUACUCGAAUCUUCACUGUGGGCCAUUUUUGAUGCUCAGCACCACUCUAGAUCUCCCACUACUCAAUAGUAAGCUGGUACCAGUUUUCUCCUUUGUAAGAAAAGCUGUAGCUCUUUAAAAGAUGAAGAAAUUCACUUUGACUACAAAACAUCUGAGAAGAGAGAACAGCUGGUCUUCAAGGUAGGAAAAACACUUGUCAAAUGUUUUUGUGCCUCCUAUGGGGUAACUCAGCAUUUUACAAUUUCCUCCUUCCUGUCGCUGAGUCAAAUAGCCACUACAAGACAAACAGUUGUUUCCCUGCCCCCCCCCGCCCCCCCCAAGAAGUCCCAAUAGAAAGGUUGGGUUUUCUUGCUUUCUAAGCUGUCCUUGCUUGUCUUCCCUCCUCAGGCUUGCUGGAAUUUUACUCCUUUGGGGUUAAAUGUAGUCGGUGGAGUAUAGGGAAACUUGAAGCUUCUACUGUUAAACUCUUUCUUUUUAAAUUUGCUCAGGUGGAUGUACUGUUCUUCUAUGCAAAAGAAAGAAAGAAAAAAAAAAGAAAGAAAGUCGGGAUGCCUGGGUGGCUCAGUCGAUUAAGCGUCUACUAAGCGUCUGCCUUUGGCUCAGGUCAUGAUUGCGGGGUCCUAGGAUAGAGUCUCCCUCUGCCUACUGCUCCCCCUGUUUGUGCACUCUCUCUCUCUGACAAAUAAAUAAAAUCUUAAAACAAAACAAAACAAAACACCACUAGAGCGUGAGACUAUAAAGGGUUAGCACAAAGGUGUUUUUGGGGUGAUAGAAUUGUUCUUCAUCCUAAUUGUGGGGGUGACUACACAAAUCUAUACACAUAUUAAAGCUCACAGGACUGUAGGCCUAAAAA